rnacentral:rRNA from 1 species
GACGAACCGUCCUAACGUUGUUCGGAAUCACUGGGCUUAAAGGGCGCGUAGGCGGCUUGCCAAGUCAGGGGUGAAAUCCUGCAGCUUAACUGUAGAAGGGCCUUUGAUACUGGCGAGCUCGAGGGAGGUAGGGGUAUGUGGAACUUCCGGUGGAGCGGUGAAAUGCGUUGAUAUCGGAAGGAACGCCGGUGGCGAAAGCGGCGUGCUGGCCCUCUUCUGACGCUGAGGCGCGAAAGCCAGGGGAGCGAACGGG